rnacentral:tRNA from 1 species
CAGGAAAAAGUUUUUAAAUAUUAAUUUUGGAGAUUAAAGUUGGGGUAAUUCCCUUUCCUGA